rnacentral:rRNA from 1 species
GUAGGGAAUAUUGCUUAAUGGGCGAAAGCCUGAAGCAGCAACGCCGCGUGUGCGAUGAAGGUCUUCGGAUUGUAAAGCACUUUUAGAGGGGAUGAGGAAGGACAGUACCCUCUGAAUAAGCCUCGGCUAACUACGUGCCAGCAGCCGCGGUAAAACGUAGGAGGCGAGCGUUAUCCGGAUUUACUGGGCGUAAAGCGCGUGUAGGCGGCAUAAUAAGUUGGAUGUGAAAGCUCCUGGCUAAACUGGGAGAGGACGUUCAAUACUGUUGUGCUUGAGGAUGGGAGAGGGAGGUGGAAUUCCGGGUGUAGUGGUGAAAUGCGUAGAUAUCCGGAGGAACACCAGUGGCGAAGGCGGCCUCCUGGCCCAUUUCUGACGCUCAGACGCGAAAGCUAGGGUAGCAAACGGGAUUAGAAACCCCAGUAGUCC